rnacentral:tRNA from 1 species
AGUGAUAUAGCUAUAUAAACUAAGUAACAGAUUCUUACUCUGUAGAAAAAUUAUUAUUUUAUCGCUU